UACGAAGGAUCCAAGCGUUGUCCGGAUUUACUGGGUUUAAAGCGUGCGCAGGCGGUUGUGCAAGACAGAUGUGAAAUCCCCGGGCUCAACCUGGGAACUGCAUUUGUGACUGCACGGCUAGAGUGUGUCAGAGGGGGGUAGAAUUCCACGUGUAGCAGUGAAAUGCGUAGAUAUGUGGAGGAAUACCGAUGGCGAAGGCAGCCCCCUGGGAUAACACUGACGCUCAUGCACGAAAGCGUGGGGAGCAAACAGG
rnacentral:rRNA from 1 species